UAAUCUGCUAUUGAUCAAAUACUUGUAUAAUUUAUCUCAAGUAUCACAGUCCAGAUCAUUAAUGUAUUGUUUGUGUUUCUAUCAUGCUAGAUUUUGUUUCAAGUUCAUUUCAUGUGUAAGCAAAUUUAGAGUGUUGAAGUCGUAGUGAAUUAAAUAACAUUUGGAACCUUUGUCUAACAAUCUUUGUCCAAGUCCAAGAUGAACAGGGCAAUCGGUUUUCCAAGAUUGAAAAUUCAUGAAUAAACAGUUGUGAUGCAAAUUUACAGAACCUGAAACUUGAUGAUAGUUACUUCAGUGUGCGCGCACCUUUUGCCAUAUUUUACGUACUAUACAACUACUUUGCUUUUGUCCGAUGAAAACUGUUUGCGACACCUGGCAGCUUGGCCUCCUGGGAAGAAGAGACGAGGGAGAGAGAGGAGGUGAGAUGGAGAGAAGAGAAGGAGGCGGGACGACUUAGACCAGUGUGGCCCUCACUUCAUUACUGCUUUGCCUUGGUUGGCACCGGACACACGGGCCCCGCACAAGCAUGGUCUCGGAUGUCUCUGCUAUGGGAACACAUUGCCGGAUCGCUCUCAUCUAUGACUGUUCAUAUUCCAUGCAUCAUGCCACUCCGAUGGUGUAAAGCUAGCUGUCGUGAUUGUUUGGGUGGUGCACAGCCAGUGUUUGUUGGAAUGCCUAUGCGACAACAGCUCACAACCUCAUGUAGUGCUUGAGAAAACCUGAGAAUAUUGAGAAGCUUCGUGCUGCGAGUGCGAGGAGAUGAACAAGUACUUCUCUCACUGCAAGGUACGAUCAUCAGUUAGUGUCUACAAUCUUCUUUCUCGGAAAAUAGGGGAUUUAUAUCAGCGUGCCAUCACUGCAAGGAAUCAUCACCGUCUCAACGGCGGCAACAGCGGAUACAGAACAACUGAUGCGGCCUGAAGUGGACCUCAUUCAACCUUAACUCCAGGUAUAGUAAUAACUAUCUUGCUGCUUAAUUACCUCCUCUACUAUAUAGCCAUUAGAACUGAUCCACAUAUACUGUAUAGGUAAUUAGCUUUUGCUGGGUCCAGUUGAGUAUCUCCUGGUCUUUUGAACUUCUUUUUUCAUGCACAUUAUUCGAUGGUGUUUUGAAAAGGCAUACGGCAGUUGUUGUUUUGGAGUUUUGAAACUAUUUCUCUUGCUAUUCUUGCCUCGCAGAAGGCAGGCAAUGCACGGCAAGCUAUUUCACCUACUUGUUAGAUAUUGCAUCCUUAUUUAUUCUCAACACAUGACAAGUUGAGUUGUUUCUAUUCAUAUAUCCUGUAGUAGGAUACACACACAGAUAUUUUGUAAUGUUGUAGCCAACAAAGAGGCACAAAAGAGCAGAUGCAAGUUGCUGUCAACUGGCGCUCCAUCUGGAUUCGGAAUUCAUUUUCAUAUGGGAUGCAUUUUGUGCAGUAAAAAAACCAUUGGCUAGGAAGAAAUAAAAUCAUGAAUUUCCAGCCAAUCAACUACCAAAUAUAGGCCCUUGACAGCAGCAUUAAUUCUGUCUCAUACUUAAAUUUAGUUACGGCAUGUUGGCUUAGGUUGUUCAUAUAAAUUUUCUUAUUAAUUAUGUGGCAUAUCACUUAAUGAGGUUGCCUGUGUGGUAUAUGUUUGGGGCAACUCGGUUUUUUCUAGAGGCCAGAGCUCAGUGUCUAAUCGCAUCAAAGCAUGCUGCUGUUUAGCAUGAUCGGCAUAGCUUACAGUUUUUGUUAAACUGAAUUAGCGAAUAUAUGUUGCUUUUUCACGUGCGCACCAUGUCAUUUGAGACAAUUUCAAGAUCUUAGAAAUUAGCCCCAAGCUUCAAAAUUCCAACAAACUAAUACAAAGAUGAGAUUAUUCAUUUAAAAUUAGCAAGUUAUGAGAGGAGGUUUUGCAUAAAGUAAUUCUACAUGGCGUAAGAUUACAAUAUUCAUUGUAGCAAGAUUUUCUUUCUAAUCUGCGGCACCGUCAAAUUGGACAUCCAUCAUGGUUCAUGACAUUAGGCAUCAAGGAUAGAAGCAUAUAUGUUGGAUAUCUAUGACAUAAAGAGAUUAUCGUUUCAACUACUUGACCUAUCAGUGUUUGGUUAGUUCAAUCAAAUUUAUAGAUUUACUGUUGAUUGUUUGGAUGGUUGGUUAGGAAAGUGAAAAGGAAACUCUUUGAUGUUGACAACUUAGUUUCUCUGUGGUAAUGACAAACUUCUUAAUUUACUCACAAGUGAGGAUCUGAUGUCAGUUAUUUUGUGGAUCAAACCUGCCAGCAAUGACCUUACUUGAACAAUAUCUAUUCUGUGGGAUCAUACCGCUGGAAACGUGCCAGCAAGUAAAUUUGUUGGCAUUUUAUUCUGUUUCAGGAUAACUUUUCUUUUUGUUGCUCAAUAAAAGGAAUAUCCCUCUUCGUAAAUCUAUUAUUUCGCUUUCCCAUGAAGCUGUAGUUCUCUCCAAAUAAUUUUGAGAUUACACUAAGCAGAAGCUGCUAAACAUGCCGUGGAAGCUGAUGCAAAAUCAAACAGUAAAGAGGAGGUUGCUCUGUGUUGCCAUUGUUGUAUGAAUAUAAUGCGACCUUCUGCUAUUGUAUGAAGAAAAGUAUGUGCAUAACUGCAUACUUGCAGGAAUAGAAGAUAGAUAAAUAUGACCUUGCUUACAGAUUGUUGUGUAGAUAAAAUUGACCUUGCUUACAGAUUUUGUUGUAUGUAUUUUUUUUGGUAUUGUUGACCGAGAUAGAUAGAAUAUGGUAGAAGAAAGAGGUGCAGAUUGUUGUAUGGCCAUAUUGUACAUGGUGAUCAUUGUUGUAUUUAUUUUACAUAGAUAGAAUAAUGAUGUAGAUAUAGAGGGUUUUCGCAUAUGUACCAAUUUUCAUAGGAACUAUGAUUAUGUAUGACUGGUAUAUGGUGCACAAAUCAGUCAUAUACUCA